AAUCGUUCAUCACCACAAUAGGAAUUGAUGCUUGAUCAGCUAAAGGGAUCACCGGAUCCGGAUGAGGUACAUAAAUAGCACGAGAGUACUCCUACUAUUUUGCAAGGAGAAGCAUCCAUUAACGUCAAAAACUAAUUGGAAAAAAACAUCCAUACCCGCACUUGCAGUCUGAGCCGCAGCUGCAACCGGAUCCACAGUUGCAAGACAUCCUCCAAAUCUGAUGAACCCAAAAAGAUUUCAAGGAGAAGAAGAUGAGCUUUGGUGUCGAGGAUGAUGAUGAGCACAAUUGAAUUGAAUGGAUAGCCUCCCACCGGCGCCACUAUUUAUAGCC
rnacentral:lncRNA from 1 species